rnacentral:rRNA from 1 species
GAUGAACGCUGGCGGCGUGCCUAAUACAUGCAAGUCGAGCGAACGGACGAGAAGCUUGCUUCUCUGAUGUUAGCGGCGGACGGGUGAGUAACACGUGGAUAACCUACCUAUAAGACUGGGAUAACUUCGGGAAACCGGAGCUAAUACCGGAUAAUAUUUUGAACCGCAUGGUUCAAAAGUGAAAGACGGUCUUGCUGUCACUUAUAGAUGGGUCCGCGCUGCAUUAGCUAGUUGGUAAGGUAACGGCUUACCAAGGCAACGAUGCAUAGCCGACCUGAGAGGGUGAUCGGCCACACUGGAACUGAGACACGGUCCAGACUCCUACGGGAGGCAGCAGUAGGGAAUCUUCCGCAAUGGGCGAAAGCCUGACGGAGCAACGCCGCGUGAGUGAUGAAGGUCUUCGGAUCGUAAAACUCUGUUAUUAGGGAAGAACAUAUGUGUAAGUAACUGUGCACAUCUUGACGGUACCUAAUCAGAAAGCCACGGCUAACUACGUG